rnacentral:rRNA from 1 species
AGAGUUUGAUCCUGGCUCAGGAUGAACGCUAGCGGCAGGCUUAAUACAUGCAAGUCGAGGGGCAACAGGGGUAGCGAUACCUGCUGGCGACCGGCAAACGGGUGCGCAACACGUACAGAACCUUCCUUUAAGCGGGGGAUAGCCCAUAGAAAUGUGGAUUAAUACCCCCAUGGUAUUAUUGUUUGGCAUCAAAUGAUAAUUAAAGAUUUAUCACUUAGAGAUGGCUGUGCGUCUGAUUAGGUAGUUGGUUGGGGUAAUGGCCCACCAAGCCUUCGAUCAGUAACUGGUGUGAGAGCACGACCAGUCACACGGGCACUGAGACACGGGCCCGACUCCUACGGGAGGCAGCAGUAAGGAAUAUUGGUCAAUGGAGGCAACUCUGAACCAGCCAUGCCGCGUGAAGGAUGAAGGUCCUCUGGAUUGUAAACUUCUUUUAUGUGGGAAGAAAUGCAUUCUUUAUAGAGUGUUUGACGGUACCAUAGGAAUAAGCACCGGCUAACUCCGUGCCAGCAGCCGCGGUAAUACGGAGGGUGCGAGCGUUAUCCGGAUUCACUGGGUUUAAAGGGUGCGUAGGUGGGGAAGUAAGUCAGUGGUGAAAUCUUCUGGCUUAACUAGAAGAGGUCGUUGGAAACUGCGAGUCUAGCAUCCCGCAGAGGUCGGUGGAAUCCCCGGUGUAGUGGUGGAAUGCGUAGAGAUCGGGAGGAACCUCGAAAGCGAAGGCAGCCGGCUGGGCGCGGAUGGACGCUGAGGGACGAAAGCGUGGGGAGCGAACAGGAUUAGAUACCCCCGUAGUCC